AGAGCGAACGCUGGCGGCAGGCUUAACACAUGCAAGUCGAGCGGAUGUAGCAAUACAUCAGCGGCAGACGGGAUAGUAACACGUGGGAACGCGCCCUUUGGUUCGGAAUAACUCAGGGAAACUUGAGCUAAUACCGGAUAAGCCCUUACGGGGAAAGAUUUAUCGCCAAAGGAACGGCCCGCGUCCGAUUAGCUAGUUGGUGAGGUAAUGGCUCACCAAGGCGACGAUCGGUAGCUGGUCUGAGAGGAUGACCAGCAUCACUGGGACUGAGACACGGCCCAGACUCCUACGGGAGGCAGCAGUGGGGAAUAUUGGACAAUGGGCGCAAGCCUGAUCCAGCCAUGCCGCGUGGAUGAUGAAGGCCCUAGGGUUGUAAAGUCCUUUAACGGGGAAGAUAAUGACGGUACCCGUAGAAUAAGCCCGGCUAACUUCGCGCCAGCAGCCGC
rnacentral:rRNA from 1 species